rnacentral:sRNA from 1 species
CAGGCGUGCCUUUCAGGCAUCCUCUCCUAAAAACUUUCAGGGCCGGUCCACGUGACCGGCCCCUUUUUUUGUCCGUU